AUGGCCGGGGAAGACGGCAAGGUGGAUCAUCCACGCCGCAGCGGGCGCCUGAAGGCUCAAACUCGCGCGGAUCAGGAGCACGGUGCUGAGGACACCAGCGAGGUGGACUGCUCGCGCCGCCGCUGUCUCAGGCCUCAGUCUUCCUCGGGCCAGGAGGUCGAUGGCGAGGCGGACCACCCGCGCUACAAUUUACGCCUCAGGUUUGGGGCACAAGAAUGCACCAAACAAAAAAUUGGUAAUAAGAGAGGUCUGACAGGCUAG
rnacentral:rRNA from 1 species